UUACGGCCACAUCACGUUGAAACAUUGGUUCCCGUACGAUAACCGAAGUUAAGCAACGUCGAAGCUUGUCAGUACCUAGAUGGGUGACCGCUUGGGAAUACCAGGUGCUGCAAU
rnacentral:rRNA from 1 species